AAGUGAUUUAAGCUCCUUUAGUAUUUGUCCAGCAGGUUUCAUCCAGAAAUCAAUUUUAUUUUGUGAAGCCCAU